rnacentral:rRNA from 1 species
UACAGAGGUCCCAAGCGUUGUUCGGAUUCACUGGGCGUAAAGGGUGCGUAGGUGGUGAGGUAAGUCGGAUGUGAAAGCUCCGAGCUCAACUCGGAAAUGGCAUUGGAAACUACCUUGCUCGAGGGUUUGAGGGGGGACUGGAAUACUUGGUGUAGCAGUGAAAUGCGUAGAUAUCAAGUAGAACACCAGUGGCGAAGGCGGCUUCCUGGACCGACACUGACGCUGAGGCGCGAAAGCUAGGGGAGCAAACGGG